CUCUCUCUCUCUGCGCGUAUAAAAUAUAGACCCAAAAGCCAUAGAUCUCACAGAAAGAAAAAGCCAUAGAUCUGGAUUUCGAAACCCCCAAUUCCAAUUGAGCUUGAUCAUUAUGACCCUGUACUUGAGACGUAUAUCGGAUUUGGACCUGGACGAUCCCCGACGGUGGGAGCCGCCAAGAGACAAGUCGCUGCGGCGUUAUUGGGACACGGGUUGUGUCGUGGUUUCAUUGUUAGAAUUGUUUUCCUUGCAUGAAAAACGAUGCAACAACGCACAAGAACCAAACCCUCGUGACUGUACGCCUCGGGCGGAACAACAAAAACAAAGUCGCAGACGCCGACGCCUAAUUCAUGAAUGUAUUAAUAGGGAGCUUAGUUAUCUUCCUCGCGCAAUGGGUGUUGAUACUAAUGACUCUCAUGCAAAACCUUCUACUCAUUCUGCUGUCACAUCCUGUAACUGUUGUGGUAUCACCCACUGGCGUCGACAUUGUCCAAACCGUGAUCAACGUGCUCCAGUAUUAGGAUCAGAAACAAAAUCAAAAUCUGCUGCUGGCACCAACAACAGUUCAUGUGAGACCAAAGAAUAAUCACAACUUUCAGAAACUAGCACAUAUGAGAAUUGCUUAUCCUAAUCAACUUUAUAGAGGACUCCGAAGUUUAUUGGGAUAUUAGUUCUCUCACACCAAAUUCUUGUUCUUUAUUCUUAUUCGGAGUUUGGUAAAUCUUCAAAGAUUGUCAAAGAAGUUGAUUGCAACUUUCAGAAACUAGCACAUAUGAGAAUUGCUGAUCCUAAUUAACAUUAUAGAGGACUCCGAAGUUCUCUCGCACCAAA